UACGUAGGGUGCAAGCGUUGUCCGGAAUUAUUGGGCGUAAAGGGCUCGUAGGCGGUCCAUCGCGUCGGGGAGUGAAAAGCUGGGGCUCAACCCCAGUCCUGCUUCCGAUACGGGUGGACUAGAGGUAUGCAGGGGAGAACGGAAUUCCUGGUCGUAGUCGGUGAAAUGCGCAGAUAUCAGGAGGAACACCGGUGGCGAAGGCGGUUCUCUGGGCAUUACCUGACGCUGAGGAGCGAAAGCGUGGGGAGCAAACAGG
rnacentral:rRNA from 1 species